AGACCCAACAUCUGUUAAGUGAUUCAUUAGCGUUGAGUAGAAUAAUUCAAAAUCUGAAUUAUUACCAAUUCUCUCACGACCAAGCAGCAGACAAUGUGACGACCAAGUUAUGGUCUCUUUUGAAUUUGUUGUGCAUUUUUAACUAUAAAUAAGAAUGAUUCAAGCCAAUCAAAUUAGUAUUGGACACUUGGCUUUAUGGGUCAACGGUCAGCGGAUGAGAUACGAGGCAUUAUAUAAACACAAGAAAUAUCAAAUAUAUGCCAUUUCCAAGGAGCAUCAGUAAAUCAUAAACAAUAUACCGAAUAAAUAAACAAAAACAUCGGUGUAUAUUAACUAUACUUUAAUAGCAAAAUAAGCCUUUUGUUAUUUAUAGUGUUUUUCCUAACAAGUUUUAUCUAGCAUUCAUUAUUACCAUUGUAUUCUUUGUCAUUCCUUCAAUCUUUUUCUUUUGAUAUGAUAUUUAGAUGUCUAAAUUGUUUUUUUGAUCUAUUUUUGAUUGUUACGUUGGCCAACCAUCACAAAACUAUAAACAAAAAAACAAGCCUAGCCCACCUGAGAAUUUUAUGCAAAAUUACCCAAAUAAAGCUUAUUUGUCAUCAUCAACCAAAUUGGCCAAGUUAUAGAUACAAAGAUAGAUGGCGGCAAUACAGGUAAAUAAAUAGAGCUCAUUGGCCUUUGGAGGUGACAAAUCCAUGAGUGAUCGAUACCCGGGGAAUAUGCGAAUCCCUGUGCUCAGAGAAUGUUUGUUUGUUGAUUCGCGGGCUAUCGAUCGCAUUGAUAAAUGAUCACAUCAGAAGUGAAAAAGUGGAAUGUACGAAUAGAGAAAAGCUAUAUGCUAAACAUUUACAAUGUCGGAAUCUUGUUCUCGCCGCUCUGUCAUUAAGUUUACGACUGCAUUUUGGUUUACUGCAAGUUGGUCACAAAUAAUAGAACAAUAAAUACAAGUCGGCAAGUUACGAAAUUUGGAAGAACCAAUUUAGGUUGAAAAAACUUGCAGAACAAACUGGUUUUAAUAUUUACUACUUUAUUUACCAUUCUAUUUUAUUCAUUUAAGGCACAAAAGGCAAACACAUGACCUUAAUUAGUGGAUUAUAAAAUAUAUAUUGAAGUUUCGGAGCCUGUUGAAUUCGGGAAUCGUCGAAUUGGCUUGUAAUUCCAGUCAACCUGCUUUUUUUUUUGACAAUGCCUCAUUCUUAUCUGAUUAUUGAUAUCAAGCGCUGCCGUUGACUUGAAUUGACAAAUUGACUGCCAUGACCGACGCUCGUUUGUCAUUAUCGGCCAGCAAUUCUCAGCCAAAAGCAGACGAAGGGGUUUUUCUUCGCUUUUUU